rnacentral:misc_RNA from 1 species
GCAAGACGUGCAAUUGAUCUUGCUGAGACUCGUCUGCUGAAAGAUAGCUGGCCAGAAUAUUAUGAUGGGAAAGUCGGGAGAUUCAUAGGUAAACAGGCAAGGAAAUACCAGACAUGGUCAAUUGCCGGAUACUUGGUGGCAAAGAUGAUGCUUGAGGAUCCUUCACAUUUGGGGAUGAUUUCCCUAGAAGAGGACAAACAAAUGAAACCAGUGAUUAAGAGAUCAACUUCUUGGACUUGCUGAUGAAGAGGCAAACAUGCAAACAAGAAAAAUAGCGGAGAAAGAAUAGGAAAAAAAAACAGAAGGUGAG